rnacentral:rRNA from 1 species
AAUGAACGCUGGCGGCAGGCCUAACACAUGCAAGUCGAACGAGGCAGCAAUGCCUAGUGGCGGACGGGUGAGUAACGCGUGGGAACGUGCCCCUUGGUACGGAAUAGCCCUGGGAAACUGGGAGUAAUACCGUAUGUGGUCGAGAGACGAAAGAUUUAUCGCCAAGGGAUCGGCCCGCGUUGGAUUAGGUAGUUGGUGGGGUAAUGGCCUACCAAGCCGACGAUCCAUAGCUGGUUUGAGAGGAUGAUCAGCCACACUGGGACUGAGACACGGCCCAGACUCCUACGGGAGGCAGCAGUGGGGAAUCUUAGACAAUGGGGGAAACCCUGAUCUAGCCAUGCCGCGUGAUCGAUGAAGGCCUUAGGGUUGUAAAGAUCUUUCAGGUGGGAAGAUAAUGACGGUACCACCAGAAGAAGCCCCGGCUAACUCCGUGCCAGCCGCCGCCGUAA